GCAAGUCGAACGAAGUAGCAAUACUUAGUGGCAGACGGGUGAGUAACAUGUGGGUAUCUACCCUUUGGCCUGGAAUAACACGAGGAAACUUGUGCUAAUACUGGAUAAGUCAUUACGGAGAAAGCUUUAUGCACCAUUGGAUGAGCCUGCACUUGAUUAGUUUGUUGGUGGGGUAAUGGCCUACCAAGACUGUGAUCAAUAGCUGAUUUGAGAGGAUGAUCAGCCACAUUGGGACUGAGACACGGCCCAAACUCCUACGGGAGGCAGCAGUGGGGAAUCUUGCACAAUGGAGGAAACUCUGAUGCAGCGAUGCCGCGUGAGUGAAGAAGGCCCUUGGGUUGUAAAGCUCUUUCGUCGGGGAAGAAAAUGACUGUACCCGAAUAAGAAGGUCCGGCUAACUUCGUGCCAGCAGCCGCGGUAAUACGAAGGGACCUAGCGUAGUUCGGAAUUACUGGGCUUAAAGAGUUCGUAGGUGGUUGAAAAAGUUGGUGGUGAAAUCCCAGAGCUUAACUCUGGAACUGCCAUCAAAACUUUUCAGCUAGAGUAUGAUAGAGGAAAGCAGAAUUUCUAGUGUAGAGGUGAAAUUCGUAGAUAUUAGAAAGAAUACCAAUUGCGAAGGCAGCUUUCUGGAUCAUUACUGACACUGAGGAACGAAAGCAUGGGUAGCGAAGAGGAUUAGAUACCCUCGUAGUCCAUGCCGUAAACGAUGUGUGUUAGACGUUGGAAAUUUAUUUUCAGUGUCGCAGCGAAAGCGAUAAACACACCGCCUGGGGAGUACGACCGCAAGGUUAGAACUCAAAUGAAUUGACGGGGACCCGCACAAGUAGUGGAGCAUGU
rnacentral:rRNA from 1 species